AGCGAACGCUAGCGGCAGGCUUAACACAUGCAAGUCGAACGCGUGCCUUCGGGCACGAGUGGCGAACGGGUGAGUAACACGUGGGUCACGUACCCUGAGGUGGGGGAUAACCCGAGGAAA
rnacentral:rRNA from 1 species